GUUUAUUUUGCGUUCAAACUACAGUACUGUACUGUACUGUACAAGAAUCUUGCGAAACCACAGCCAAGGGAACCGGCUGGGAUUAAUUUCUUGGUCGGUUGGCGGUGGUUUCCUUUGAGGACCGGGGGAACUGCUUUACUCCCACCCCUCGGUCCUUUUAGAUAGUAUAGGCUUCUUCGUGGCGUUAGAUAUUAAUAACGGCGUGGACUCCUUCGCGUCGCGAAGCCAACAUAUAGAGAUUCUCGUUGGGCGGAAGAGUGUCGAUAUUUCCUCACCAAGGUUGUAUCCAGCAAAAGUUUAGGACCACGAGCUCGCCUCUCCAUGUGGUGGUUUCGGGGAUCUUCUCGCAUUCCGAUCGUCGGGUUGUAGUGUGGGAUGUUCUCGGGUGGCCCACUUACCUCUGGCGAAGGAGAUUGUGUUUACAAACGCGUGUCGGUAGACAUCCGAUUGCCUCCGAUGCUGACUGAUAAUCUGUUUCGUUGGCGGUCGGGAAACGUCAAAUUUUGAUAUUUAUAAAAAGUAAUUCGGGUGGUCUUUGAAGUCCCGGCGUCGACCCAUUCUCGGCGCCGAACGGAGACCCGGGUGUCAGCUGCGGUUUCGGGCCGCGGUCGGUCUCUUGUGGUUGGCUU